rnacentral:lncRNA from 1 species
UCUCUCUCUCUCUCUCUCUCUCUCUCUACUGCAUACACACACGUCGCACUAACUUUUUCUCUCGCGCUUUGCUCACACAUCUGACAGUGGUCAAGUAGUAGGCACACGCACACUACUCCCACAUUGGGCAUUAGACCUCUGUUUUACCAUCCAACACUCGUUUAGUCGUAUCUGCUGGUUAAGAAUAGAUCUUUUUUAUCUACUUUUAUCUUAUUUACUUUACAAUAUCAAUCACAAAUAUCCGCAUUAAAAUAUAUAAAUUAAACAAUAUUUUGUUUAUUUUAUUAAUAUAUAUCAACUGUGAAAAUGGAGGAUAUUAUAAAUGAAUGCCUACAGCAAGUUAAGCUCUUGGAAGAGGUCGAAAGAUUAUUAUUUUCUGCUACAAGUACAGUUGAUUUAUCCACUGUAACCAACGCACUAAUACGGAAAGUCAUUUGUGUUCGGGAGGCUAGCACGCACGCCGGAAGAAGGCGAACUCGAGGAGGAAGAUUUAUUACCAACCUUUAAUGGUUAUAUGAGGGAGCUGGUAACCCGACUUAAUAGUCUCCAAGCGACGGCGAGAGAAAACUCGAUUAAAGCGAAGGAGAGGGCGAAACAAUAUUAUGACCGACGAGUAUAUUAAAACACUACAAAUUGGAAACCACGUAUGGCUACUAAGCGGCCCGAAACCGCAUAAAUUCGAGGAUCAAUAUAAAGGACCAUAUACAGUGCUCGACGUGAGCCCCAACGGCAACGUAAAAAUACAAAUAAGCGCGACUAAAGAAAAAAUCGUACACGCAAACAGGCUACGCGAAAAUGAUAAGACUAAGUAGAAGUAGAACUACAACAUAACCGUACGCACAUCGUAAACAAUGCAUGAGAAGCACAGUAAAAAAAAUUAAAUCACAUUCAGUGCAAGUUAUAAAAUUUUUUUCAAACACGCUACAGGCCAGCACGCAUACACGCGCCAUUAUGAUAGACACGAAUACGCGUACUCUAGAAGUACGCGAUCACCAACACGCAUACACGCGCCAUUAUGAUAGACACGAAUACGCGUACUCUAGAAGUACGCGAUCACCAACAAACACAAGCUUCAAAAAAUUUUUUUUUCUUGUUUUCCUGCUACCUGCCCGCUCACAAUAACCAUAAAACGACGACAAAUAAAAACAAGAACCAGCUAGCGGUACAUUCAAACAACUGACAAACAUGCUAAACAAUACACAUAAAUGUUUGUUAGAUAAAAAAAAGAGAACGCAUAACGUUUAAUGAACUAAUUACAAUGAUUACAGAUGAUAAACAUGUGGAUUUUGUGGCUAACAACGAUAGCUCAACUUUUCAUCGGCGGUGCCGCGAUAAUAGCAUAUGACUGUUCGCAGCAAGUCUCUAAUUUAACAACUUUCUCGCUAAUUAACGUCGGAGAAUGCGAUAUAGAAAUUCCGGUAUUAAACACGACGCGAGUAUUCGUAAAACUGUUGCAAAUAAAUGAAUUUACGAAAACGCACGUAAGAUUCUGUAAAGUCGAAAUAAAGAGAACGGUAAGAACCUGCGGCGCGUUUUCGCACUCGAGCGACGUGAUUAGAGGCGAGGUCAAGUUUCUCGACGAGAUACUUAAGAAGUUAUGUGAAUCAAGCGACUAGAAGACGGACAAAGAUAAACAAAAUAACAUACGCACUCAUCCACUUCGCGCGUCACUUAAUCGCUUGAGAUAUUAGAUAAGCAAACAAAAAUUAUAACUCUAGAAAAAUUAAUAAUCAUAUAAGUAUACAGUUAGUAAAGUUAUGUAAACCGGCAGCAAGAAAAACGGAAACGAGAUUUCUCAACUCAAGAAGACUCGUACUGUUUCGCUUGCCCAAGGGAAAAGUAAAUUCGAUGUAUGUGACAAAAAAAUAAAUAAAGAAAAGGGCACUUGCCCACCAAAGAAACGAAUCAGAACAAGGUCGUCGUAAUCGAACUAACUAUAUUCCUAACAAAAAAAAAUCGAGCUUCACUAUUCGAAGACUUGUCACGAAAAUUAUAACUUCGAGGGUCAGGAAGACAUUGAGCACAAGCGGUCACUCCCACAGACCGGGCCGAGCAUCGCCAAUCAUGAUUAAGGGAGCGUACCGGCGGCAGUGGUGGUUAAUUACAGUCGUAUUUUUUUUUUUUUUUUUAUAUUGUACGUAAACAUUAUCUACCCUAGGCGGUAUCGCGUGAGCGGGCUGCGCUAAAUAAAAGGUCUCGUCGACUCGGAAUUUGUAAUUAUUUCUAUCGUGCGAGUAAUCGCUCUAUGCGGCCGCCCGGACGUAACAAUAGAAAGGAAAUUAGCUAAUCAGCAAGCUUUACGCGGGCGGGGUGAUACGAAUUUGGGUACUAAAAAGGUAUUUUCCUGCAAAAUUUGCAAAAGCCCGGAUGAUACUAGUUGUAUUUGUGGGUCCGAGCAAGAAAAGGAAUGCCAAUUUUGUAAUACAAAAGGUCACACUCUUGAUAACUGCGUAGCUCAUGCAAAGAGCAUAUUGAGAAUGAAACUUACUUGUCAGUUAUACAAAACCGAAGGUCACACUGCUAGCAACUGCAAAACUAUUGAGACGUGCCAAUUGUGCAGUAAAAUUGGUCAUUCGGCUAAAGAAUGUCUACCUCUAGCAAUGCUUACGCAAAUAGACCUAAAACUAUUUGUCAAAUUUGUCAGAGAGUAGGUCAUCCAGCCAGCUCUUGCUAUUCUUUAAAAAAUCGAAUAGCUCAACUCACUCGAACUCAAACGAUCAACUAAUACUUUCUGUCAAAUUUGCAGAUUACCUGGACACAAUGCUAAUAUGUGCAACCAGAAUCUCACAGCCCAAGCAGCAGGUCAACAACAACAUAAAAAAAAUUAGAUCAUGCUGAUCGUUUAUUACAUGAAUUUGUUAUAAAAACUCAAGAGUUAUUUUCAAAAUCUGCUAUGACAUAUAAUAUUCACCAAUUGCUCCACAUUUGUAAAAGUGUUUACGAUUGGGGACCAUUAUGGACUCACUGGACUUUUUCUUUUGAAUCGGAUUUUGAUCGAAAAGAAGAGUGGCUAUAUGUAAAAAAUUCAAAACUAAACUAAGAUGCGGAAAUUCGGCGUAUGUGAGGGACAGCUCAGAUAUAACGGCUUCUCUCACUUGCUAAUUUUUGGCAUCUAGGCGGAACGCGACCUCAACAACAUCGAGAAGGGAGGACUCUAGGCCCUUCGUGCUGCGAAACAUCACUCCAGUUCAUCACUCCGGUCCCGGCUCUAAGUAAGCUCAGUAGAAUUCGCGCUUAGUACGCGUUAAGUUUUAUUUUAGCGCUUGUACGCGUAGUUUUAGAUUUGCACUAAGUACACACGAUUUUAUUUGUAUUUGCGCUAAGUACGCAUAUUUUUAAUUAAAAUUUAAAGUAAAUUAAACUGAACUUGUGUGUAUUCGGUUAUUAUUUUUACCGAGAGUCUUCAUCCAUCUAUGGAUCUCUAAGUACCCAAGUAGCAGACAACGAGUAACAAAGUGAUUUUUAAUUAUUUGUCUUAACUUUCCUCUAAUCCUUUCUACAACCUAUCGCUUGGAUAAGUGAUCCGAAUAACACCGGGUCAUUUUCUAAAAGUUUUACAUUCAUUUCAUUCCUACAUUAAGCAAACAUUCUAAGCACCCAGCUAUUGCACGAAAGUGCAGGCUAAAGGUGUAGUUUUAAAAUAAGCGCAGUAGCAUCGUUGGAUGUUACACGGCCGUAAAAAGAAGUGGACCAAGUGACCUUUAAAAGUUGUUACUUGAUUUUCAUACAAGGAUAGGCCACUCCAAGCAGUUAUAGCGAAAGGGACACCGAUUCGAAAUUUUUCAGUUACUAAUGCUGAUGUCAAAUCUAUUGCAAAGAUUAAGAUCCUCAAAGUGUAGGCUAAAGGUGUAGUAACUAAAUAAGUGUGGUAGCAUCGUUAGAUAUUACACUCGCAAGUAGGUGACAGGCGGCGACCACCCGAUAAGCUAUAAAUUAACUGCGGGGAGAAGGGACGCCGACGCAUUUUCGGAGCACCGCCAAAAAAGACAAACCUUUCAUCCUAUCCUUUUCCAUACCUCCAUCCACCUAUAAAAGCCCAUGUGUAACCACGAGAAGGGGCCUUCUGCAACCGACAGGGCGAAAGUGCAGGCUAAAGGUGUAGUUAAAAAAAAUAUAUAGUGCAGUAGCAUCGUUGGGUGUUACAUACGCAUCAGUUAUUUUAUAUUUCGUGCUUGUACGCAUAAAGUUUUUUUUGCGCUAAGUACGCAUCUAUUUACCUAUAUCUUUUAAUAUAUUAUUUUUCUGAAAUCGUGUUAGGUGUUUUAUUUUCCGAAAUCUUUUGCCCUUCUACGAGUUCCAGCUGACAGCAGCAACCCGAACAGCAUAGGACAAAGUAAGUAAUUCAAAAUUUUGCUGUCAUAUCUUUUCCUUUUACUUGUCUAUAACCUAUCGCUUGGAUAAAUGAAUCGUUUAAAGCCGGGUCAUUUAUCCCUCUCUUACUCUUUUAGAAUUUAAAUCCGAAUAACACCGGGACAUUUUCUGAAAAUUCUACUUUCCUUUCAUUCCUUUAUACAGACAUUCAGAGCACCCAGCUAUUGCACUCACCAAACCACUCACUCCAAAUUUCCAAAAUUAAAGGGAGAAAAAAAAUAGAACAAGGAAGAGCAAGCCAUCUAGGAACGUGUUCAACUAAUAAACCCAAGGUAAGCUUUUCAAUUAUUGAUUUGGACCACCACCAAAAAGAAAAGAAAACAUUUGUGGGCAGGGACACGAAUCCUGACCAGAUUACUCCCUGGACACCUGUAGAGCGUGUCAGAUAGGCAAACUCGCACAAAAGGGGAAACUCUUCAAGUUUCCACCUAACACUUGAUUUGCAUACAAGGAUAGGCCACUCCAGGCAGUUAUAGCAAAAGGAUUACGAUUCGACAUUUGUCAGUUACUAAUGCUUACGCCAAAUCUUUUGCAAAGUUAAGGACAGCUGAUGGUGGUAUUUUACAUGUGCCUGAAAAUUGCAUUUUCUGGAAAAGAUUAUGGUCUAUAAGGCCAGUAUUUCAAAGAGCCAAACGAACGAGAUUUUACAUUUUUAUCACCUUCUCGAACAGAGUCAAAGCAAUAGAGUUAGAAAUACGAGAUGCAGCAGAAAGAGAAAACAGACUUAGACACGGUAUAGAGCACGAAAUAGAACUGAACGCAAUAAGAUUUUUUAUUCGCGGGCAACACAGUGGAAUAAAAGCUGGCAUAAUUCGCACUGGCACACUAGAAGAAGCAACCACAAGCAAGCCGUGAAGAUGAACCAAAGCAACAACUAUCGCGAGGACUUCGAUGGCAGAUUGUAAUAACAAUUAUAGUUUUAAGUUGAAUUCAUGUAUGCUGCUGUACCUUUCAGUACGUUUCCAUAUAAUUGCGUAUAUUGGUGUUAAAAUUUUGACUUAAAGUACGUAAAAGUACCUCAUUGAAUCCUUCGGUAACAUAGUAUAUUGGAUAUGGAAAGGCUUGGUUCACUUUUCAAAGAGGGCAUCUGUGCUGAGAUGGGCGUGUUAGCCACUCUUCUGGACAAUUAUUUCAAGUUAAGCAGGUUGAGAUUGAAGUCUACGAAUUCAUUUACAAAGAGAGACUCUAACAUUUAUGUAACAAUAAUAAUUAAUUGGUUAAUGCAGCAUUUACAAAUUAUAUUUGCGCUUAAACAAAAAGGGUUACGCCAUACUACUGCCAUAAUAAUUCACAACAAGAGUUCUAUGUUCGUCGCAAAAUUAUAUAGUGCAAACUCGAACUGUAAGUGACAGCUGAGACACUAAUCCCGAUCAUUCUCUCCUUUAUAACUUCUUACUUACUAUAGUCAUACUGCACUUUCUUCACUUUUUUGAGCGCUGCCGUCUUAAUGUCUUUGAUCAAAAACUUUUCAUUUUCGGCAGAAAAAUAGCACGAAAGCAAAUCAAAAAAUUCUAUUUUUAAAAAAGGACGUCGCAGCGCUAAAGAGAGAGAGAGAGAGAGCAGUGCGUGUCGCUUUUUUACGUUAACAAAUUUUCGAGACGCAGAAUUGUGUGGAGGACACUAAAAGAAAAAAAUCGCUUUAUAGCGUUACUAGCUUAUAACAAAAAAAAAAGAAAAACAUACGAACAAUAAUUUUUUUCUAGACCACCGACAGAUUAAUUCUCAAGUUUUCCGAUUUAAAGGCUUUUUCUUCUUCUUCGAGGAUUCUUUUUGUUGCCGCAACGAGCACCUGCAUUUCCCUGAACAUGGCCUACAGGCGAGGACCCAACUCCUUCUCUUUGUCGACUUACAACUGCGUUGACAUCUUAUACUCCUCUGCUAAGGUUAGCCUCAACUGUUGGUUUGGUGGUGUUCGUUUGGUAAUUCUUUAUUGGCCUUAAUGGCGGCCUGAUAAUAGGCCCUGGUGAUGGUCUGUUAUAUUUCGAUUCUUCUUUCCCUGAUGUUAUUCUUGGGUCUUGUUAGGCUUACUGCCGAGGUGUUGCAAGCUAGGCAGUAAUGUCACCAGAAGUUAUUAGUAAAGCAGCUGGUGAAUGAAUGGGUUUCAAGGUCACUUAGCUUACCGAAGCUAGCUUAAAUAUGCCGAGGACAAGUGUCUUGGGACGCAAAGGUAGCGUUGGUGUGUUUAUUGGUGGUACGGAGCACCAAUGUCUCACAUAUUUUAAAGAUAGCUCUGUUUAAGCUGUUCUGUCUCUCUCGCACAUCUCAGUGCCUUUGAUAAAUCGGCUUGGCACUCAGUUGCGAAUAACUUUGGAUUAGACGUUGAUGAGGUCUGUCCUACUACAAAUAUGUGAACAUUCAAAUGAAUUGUUUGACUUGUUUGUUGUUUUUAGAUGACAGAAGAUGAUGAAUCAUGGUAAGCUGUUUCACUCCUUUUAUCAGCAAUAGGCUGCUCCGGUUGCUAGCUUUCUCCUGUCCACCCAUGUGCUCUGGUGUAUAAGGUCACCAGUUCCGUGUACUUGUUCUCAGACCUUUGACCUCUUUGAGGGCUCCGAUUCUUUUGCUUCUUAGUGUGCUCAUAUUUGCUGUUUAAUUUUCAUCGAGCCCUUAGCUUUAUCAGCCCCGUUAUCGAAAUUUUUCGUGGCUUGACAUAAUAUUCCAGCCAGCUUAAGAGCGGUUGCUACAAUGUAUCGUUAUGUAGAAGCUAUAUUGCGAUGUGUUUUUGUGAUGGAAAAUUACUUGUCGAUCGUCUGUUGUAUGUCUUUAUGCCGAAUUUCUUCGUUUUAUAAUACUUUGUAUCUACGAAUUUUAAUUUUCAUGCCCUUCACACAAUUUCUUGUAUAUUAAUAAUCGCUUUAUAUCAUAACACAAUAUUUCCAUGAAACUUUGUUUUUCUUUGUUUUUUAUGAUAGUAUUUAUAUCAUUUUUUUCUAAACAUGGUUUCUCGCUAAUAUUUGCUAAUUCUGUGAUCUAUUUAGCGUGAAUAAUGAUCCAUGCGAAUUCUUGUUAAAUUUUAUGGCUUUAUUAUUAUAAGUGAAUUCACGUAAAUCUUUAUUCAUGCUCGUACAUGCUAUAUACAAACUACAAAGCUUGAUAUUGAAUUUGUCAUGCUUUAUCUUUGAUUCUGUAUUUACAAAUAAAUGUGUUGUUUCUUUUGACUUCCAUACGAUUAUUCCUAAUUAAAUAUCUAAAGUUUAUUUUUUCUUUUGUUAAAUUCUUUCUGUUUUUAUUUUUUUUUUGCAUUAGACUUUUAUGGAAUUCUU